rnacentral:misc_RNA from 1 species
GAUGAAGAACGUAUUGAAAUGCGAUAAGUAAUGUGAAUUGCAGAAUUCAGUGAAUCAUCGAAUCUUUGAACGCACCUUGCGCCCUUUGGACUUCUGAAGGGCAUGCCUGUUUGAGUAUCAUGAACACCUCAACUCCUUAUGGUCUUCCAUGAUGAGCUUGGACUUUGGGGGUUUUGCUGGCCUACAGUCAGCUCCUCUAAAAUAAAUCAGCUUACCGGUGUUUGGUGGGUAUCAUGGGUGUGAUAACUAUCUACGCUCGUGGUUUUCCACCAGGUAACCUUCAGCAGUGGAGGUUCACUGGAGCUCAUAGAUGUCUCUCCUCAGCGAGGACAGCCCUUUGAAUGUUUGAUCUCAAAUCAGGUAGGACUACCCGCUGAACUUAAGCAUAUCAAUAAGCGGAGGA